rnacentral:lncRNA from 1 species
CCUUCACACCAGACAUAACAGGACAGAGUUCUAAAUGAUGAUGAUUGCAAUUUCAAAUAUUAUUUUAAUAACAAUAUAAACAUUAUCAUAAUUAUUACCAUUAUAAUGCAAUAUUAUUUUUUAUUUAUAACAAUUAUAACAACAACAACAACAAUAACCUUCACACCAAACAUAGCGGGAUAGGGUUCUAAAACUGCUGUUUGUUCACUAAACAGGAGAAACCAUGAGGCAAGCACACAAGCCAGGCUAUCCUUCAACAGAACAGGACAUGUCACAGGAAGUUGUUGUGCAAACAGGAAGGACAGAAUGAAGAGUGGAAGAUGACGUCCACAUCAGAGGAAAUACAAUGCACCUUGAGCAUCAUAUGGAAUCCAAAAUCCAAUCAUCAUCAUCAUCUGAGCCAAAUUGCGAGCCGCGCAUCCAGGCAUGCACAUCAACAUAAGAGAAAGAAAUGGGGAAUGAAGGGGAAAGAAGAUGAUCGAGUCCCAUGAAUCCUAAACUAGGAGGUGAAUCAGAGGCUACCGACCUCUUGGUUUCAUAACUUGGACACCCAUUGUGCAAAUCUGAAAGGUCGUAAGAUUUAAAAUAGCUUUUAAUAAAAGCAUAAUUUUGGUAUUUAGACACACCUUUUGAUUCCAUUACCUUGGGCAAUACUGUGAAAACAUUUAAAAGAGCCCAUCCCAUUCAUUCUAUGCUAAUGAAACAUUAACUUAUUCAUGUUACGUUAUUUUAUUUUUUUCAUUCUUUAUGCAUGAUUUGACCUUUUUUUUUCAAAGGUGUGAAUCGCCUCAUUUGCCAUGCAAUUUUAUAAAAGAACAUGCCAACUGAAAAGAGAACUUUAAUAUUUAAAGGCAUUGCACAAAGGUGUUUAAUUUUCUACAGAAUUUUAGCUUCUAAAAAAUUAAAUGACUAAUUUGCCAAAAAAUCUACUCACCAUCAGGCCAUCCAAGAUGUAGAUGAGUUUGUUUCUAUAUUGGAACAGUUUUGGAGAAAUGUAGCAUUAUGUCACUUGCUCACCAAUGCAUCCUCUGCAGUGAAUGGGUGCCGUCAGAGUCCAACCUGAUAAAAACAUAACAAUAAUCCUGAAGUAAUCCACACGACUCCAGUCCAUCAGUAAACAUCUUAUAAUGUAAUGCUAAAUUUCCAAAUAUGUUCCCAUGAAGAAACAAAUCCAUCUACAUCAUAAACAUUUUCCAUUAAAGCUUAUUCUGACACGCA